rnacentral:rRNA from 1 species
AUUGAACGCUGGCGGCAGGCCUAACACAUGCAAGUCGAACGAGUGGCGGACGGGUGAGUAAUGUCUGGGAAACUGCCCGAUGGAGGGGGAUAACUACUGGAAACUGUAGCUAAUACCGCAUACCAUCAGAUGUGCCCAGAUGGGAUUAGCGUGUUGGUGGGGUAACGGCGCACCAAGGCGACGAUCCCUAGCUGGUCUGAGAGGAUGACCAGGCACCCUGGAACUGAGACACGGGCCAGACUCCUACGGGAGGCAGCAGUGGGGAAUAUUGGACAAUGGGCGAAAGCCUGAUGCAGCCAUGCCGCGUGUAUGAAGAAGGCCUUCGGGUUGUAAAGUACUUUCAGCGGGGAGGCGUUACCCGCAGAAGAAGCACCGGCUAACUCCGUGCCAGCAGCCGCGGUAAUUC